CGCCGGCCGCGUUCUUCAGUGUCUGGCUCCGUGUCCUGGCUGGUCCCUCCUUGUGUCUGGCUCGCUGUUCCCUCCUUGUGUCUGGCUCUGCAGCUUGUGCUGAGCAUAGCCUUUACACAUUGCAAGUUCGAAACNGAGCAAGCACAGAGAACUUUCGAGUCUAGAGAUAGAGCGAGUGGCGAACGAGGUGAAAGUAAUACAAUUCAGAGAACGUACCC
rnacentral:rRNA from 1 species